CAAGCCCCGAGCUUCCCCAUUGGUGAAAAAUGCGCGUCAUUCUAAAAAAACGGAAGCAGGCGCUACCAUUUUGAAACACGACACUGCUUAGCGCCACAAUGGACAAGAGCAACACGGUGAAGCUCUUCGUGGGGAACCUGGCUCUGGACACCACCCAGGAGGAGCUGUCGGCCAUCUUUGAGUCGUAUGGCCAGGUGGUCAGCUGCAGCGUUCUCCGACAGUUCGCCUUCGUACACCUACAGGGCGAGGGGGCUGCAGAGCGGGCCAUCAGUGAGCUGAACGGCAGAGAGUUCCGUGGGAGGAACCUGGUGGUGGAGGAGUCCCGGGGCAGACCGCUCCACUCCACCAAGGUGUUUGUGGGCAACCUGUCGGGCAUGUGCACCACUGAGGACCUCCAGGAGCUCUUCCAGACCUUCGGCAAAGUACUGGAGUGCGACAAGGUCAAAGCCAGGCUCUCCUCUUCUGCAGGAUACGCCUUUGUGCACAUGGAGAAUAAGGAGGAGGCUCUACAGGCCAUCGAGGCCCUCCACGGCACCUCCUUCAAGGGACGCCCGCUCUCCGUGGAGCUCUCUAAGGUACAGCCCUCUAAGCAAACCCCCACCGGGAAGAUCCCCUGUGUGAGCUGUGGGAAGCAGGGCCACUAUGCUGGGGAGUGCCCUGUAGGGAAGCCCUCUCUGGAACAGUACCAGAGCCAGGCUGCUGUGUUAGCUGCAGCCGCCGCCGCCGCAGCCGGCCUCCCCCUCCAGGUCCAGCAGAGCGUCCACAACUCUGUCUACAACACCUCGACCUUUGACCCCACAUACGCGGCGCUGACGGGCCACACCACCGGCACGCGGACGGACGGCAACCCCGUCAACCAGGCAGUGUACGGUGCCCUGGCGACGCAGGUCUACGGCGCCAACGUGGCCAAUCAGCUCUACGGAGUCCAGGCAGCAAAUCAGGCGGCGGCGUUGACGCAGGCGGGCGCCACGCAGGUGUACGCCAGGUCCAUGAACCCCAGCCACGCCGCCCUCUACAGUCAGCUCAGUCAGAUCGCUGCCAGCCCCGCCGCUGCCUACUCCACACCCGUCUAUGCGCAUGCCAUGGCCAACCACCACCACCACCACCCAGGGGCCGUCUACCUGGCAGCCCCUGGCAUAGAGAUGCCUACGACCGCUGCUGCCAUCAACCAGGCCUACGCCUUGGCACCGGCGCUCUAUGGGGGCGCCCAGCAUGCCUACGGUCACAUGGGGAUGGGAGCCAUGAGCGUGUCGGCGGACCCGUCGGCGGCCAUUUUUGAGGCGGCGAGGGUGCAGCACUACUUCGCCCAGGGACAGCAGGUUCUGGCCGAGCAGCAGAAUGCGGCGGCGGCCCAAGCGGCAAAGUCCGGGGAAAGGGACCGGAGUCCCCUGAGGCGCUCGGCGGGGUCCCUGCUGCCCGACCCGGUCAUGAAGCCCUUCAUGUAUCAGAGAGCGCCCAAGCAACGCCGGCCGCUGCUCCCCACCCCCGCUGGGCGAGCUGCAGAGGAGGAAGCGGAGGCUGCGGAGGAUCCCAUGACUAGAGAGCAGUACCAACAGUAUGCUGAGUACUACCAACAACAGCACCAACAGUACCAGCAGCUGCAGCAGUUACAGUACUAUGCAGAGUAUUACCAGCAGUACCAACAGUACCAGCAACUCCAGCAGUACCAGCAACUCCAACAGCUCCAGUACGCCUACCCACCUCCCAACCACCACGCCAUGGCCGCCAUCCCUGCCCACGCCAUUGCGGGCCACGCCCACCACCACGGCCAGCCCGGUCACGUCACGGCGCUGGACUCCGCCCUCAGGCCAGUGGUGCCCGCCUCCGCUAUGGUGGCCGUGCCCAGAGUACCCAUGUGACUGGGGACCAGGGUGGCAGAGAAAAUGAGGAGUAGCGUCAGUGUGUGCUUCCCCCCUAGUCUGCCUCGGUGGAUGGGGUAAGUCUAGUCUGGGGUCGACCUCUCUUUCCAGCCUCACUCGAAGUCUGUAGGACUACAGCACAGACAGGCUCCGGGUGUGUCCCAAUAAUAUCUAUUUUUUUUCCUCAAUGUGCACUUGUUCACAUCCCUUCACUAAUUGGAGGACUUAUAUAAGAAAUAUGAUGGAAACACCCUCUAGCCCAUGUAAGAAGUAGUGAACGAGUGUACACUUCAGGAAGAAAGAGAUCAUUGGGACAUAACCUCUCACUGGUAUCCCAACAAGGCUACUGUUACCAUGUGCUCAUGUCUGAAAACCGUUUCCAUGACCUCUGAUCUUUUUUGAUUGACGCUUUGUGUCGAUUUUAUAACAUUUUAAUUGCAGAUUCAAUGUUGAACCGAGUAGCGCACAUUACUCGUUUGCAGAUGAUUCCUUGUUUACCAAUGGCGGACACACACACACAGCAUCCGAGAGCUGGAGAGAGGCACGCAGAUAGAAUGGCUCCAUCUGUAGCAUUUCGAUCUGUUGGGCUUGCUCCUACCUAACCACAAACACCCAACAAUGUCUGUCUCCAGUGACUUCUGUUCUAGACGUGCAUGUGUCACUGUGCUCUAUAUCCAAAGCCCUGUACAUACCGACUAACUAUGUCAACUGAAAUAGGUCCCCGGCCGUCCAGACACAGCCAAGCGUCUGAGGUGAGAGGGGGAAGACAAUAAACGUCGCGCAGGCAAAUGGGAAGUGGGAACUCAAAUCUACUCCACCAAGGAUGGCCGAACACACACACUUGUCCCCCAACGUGUUCACUGGGCAGCCGAGAGGUGCGUUGCUGGCGGGCAGAGACUUGACAGGGAGAGGGCGUGGUCUUCCUGUCUCUGUCUGCUUCACCACUGAAAAGAAUGAAGGAUGGAGGGAAGCUGCGUUGGUAAUGUAGGGAUCUCCGGCUCUGAUCCCUGCCUGUUCCCUUAAACCCAUUCUGUCCUGAUCAUAGAGGAGAAAAGUAAUCUAGAUGUUUUAAAAAAUGGUGGCUCAAGGAAAGGAAGUGGGUGGGUUAAGAGAGCUGGGCCAGUAACCGGAAGGUCUGUGGUUCAAACCCCCCCGAGCUGACUAGGUUAAAAAUCUGUCUAUGCCCUUGAGCAAGGCACUUAACUCUAAUUUGCUCCUGUAAAUCGCUCUGGAUAAGAUUGACUACAAUGUUAAAAGGUUCACCACCAAUCUCUCCUCUGAGCAUUCAAACUACAGUAUUGCCCCGGCACAAAAUGGACUAACUCAAAUAACUAAUCAGGAUGUGGGCCCCUUUUCCUCUCAGAUGUGGACGUGUGGAGUCUGACUCUAGUGCUUGAGCAAAUGCAGUCAGCUUUGUAUUUCUGAAUUCCCCCUGGCCUGCUCCCUAUUAGCUCACACUGACUGGUAACCAUAUGGCUGCAGCCUUUCAUCAUUGCUCCGGUCUUGCUCUAACUUGCGCUGCACAACACAGGACAGGGAAGCCAGAAAUGCUGCCUUACCAAUAGAAUCUCAAUUCCAAAUUUCGCCCCUCUUUCCUGAAAUGUGCGCUUGUCCACUCCCCCCUCAAGGAAGUGAGGGGGAGGGGGGGGGGGGAUUGUUCUAGACAGUAUACCGUAUAUCUAAUACCAAUCUCAAUAUUUUCAUGGAGUGAACGAGUGCACACUUCAAGGAGAUCGGGGAGAAUUGGAAUUGGGCCACAGUUUUGCCCCCAGGGUAGUCGCCAGUCCACUGUCUAUCACACUUAACAUUGCUGCCCAAAUACUACCUAGUCACAUCAAAUAUUAUAUUCUCACAUGCAAGGACUUGUUCCUAAAUUGACUUAAUUAAGAAUCUGGGGCAAGUCAAGUGUAGUUACAGUGUAAUGGUGUGCGAUUUCAUCUGGUUAAGGAAGAUACUAUUUAUAGUCCUACGAUAUAAAGGCAACCUAAUGUAAACUGUUACCUCAAUUGUUAUCUAAUAGCUAUGUUCUUAUAGUCUGAGUUAUUGGAGGAGACAUUUUUUAGGGAGAAAGAGCAUUUUCGUAUGCCGAACUGGAUUGUUAAAGGUGAUGUUUUUGCAAAUAUCAAUGUUGAGUCAUUUGGUACUUCAAGUGCAUUUACAGGAAAAAACAAGUGCAAAUAAUCAGCAUGCUUGAAGGAGAUGAAGGGGGACAUUUUAAUGGUGCAAAAUAGUUCAAAGAUGCCAGAAAAUAUUGUAAAACUCAUAAUCCAGCAGUGUUAUACUUUUUUUUUCAACAUUGUGCAUUAUAAAAGUGAUUAUCUAACUAGAGUUUAGUAUGCUGAGCAAUGCAUUGAAUAGUGUCCUUUUUAUAAUACACAAUGCUUGAGAAGUCUAAUUUAAUCUCAGUGCCAGAUUGAGUUUUGUUUUUGCACGACUUUGCACCAUGAAAAUGUCGCCUGAAAUGUAUUAUGACAAUGAAUAACCAAAUUUCAUAUACUUAUGUAUACUCCUUGCAUCGCGUAUGUCUCGAGGCACUGUACCGUCUGCAUGGUUGUACCAAAUAAAUGAUUAUUUUAAAAUAAA